rnacentral:rRNA from 1 species
UUUAGAGUUUUGAUCCUGGCUCAGGACGAACGCUGGCGGCGUGCCUAAUACAUGCAAGUCGAGCGGACAGAAGGGAGCUUGCUCCCGGAUGUUAGCGGCGGACGGGUGAGUAACACGUGGGUAACCUGCCUGUAAGACUGGGAUAACUCCGGGAAACCGGAGCUAAUACCGGAUAGUUCCUUGAACCGCAUGGUUCAAGGAUGAAAGACGGUUUCGGCUGUCACUUACAGAUGGACCCGCGGCGCAUUAGCUAGUUGGUGGGGUAAUGGCUCACCAAGGCGACGAUGCGUAGCCGACCUGAGAGGGUGAUCGGCCACACUGGGACUGAGACACGGCCCAGACUCCUACGGGAGGCAGCAGUAGGGAAUCUUCCGCAAUGGACGAAAGUCUGACGGAGCAACGCCGCGUGAGUGAUGAAGGUUUUCGGAUCGUAAAGCUCUGUUGUUAGGGAAGAACAAGUGCGAGAGUAACUGCUCGCACCUGACGNACUACCAAACC